AACGAACGCUGGCGGCAGGCCUAACACAUGCAAGUCGAGCGCCCCGCAAGGGGAGCGGCGGACGGGUGAGUAACACGUGGGAAUUUUCCUCAAGGUACGGAACAACUCAGGGAAACUUGGGCUAAUACCGUAUGAUGCAGAGAUGCCAAAGAUUUAUCGCCUUGGGAUAAGCCCGCGUCAGAUUAGGUAGUUGGUGGGGUAAUGGCCUACCAAGCCUGUGAUCUGUAGCUGGUCUGAGAGGACGAUCAGCCACAUUGGGACUGAGACACGGCCCAGACUCCUACGGGAGGCAGCAGUGGGGAAUAUUGGACAAUGGGCGAAAGCCUGAUCCAGCCAUGCCGCGUGAGUGAUGAAGGUCUUCGGAUCGUAAAGCUCUGUGGGAAGGGACGAAAAAAGACCGACCUAAUACGUCGGAGCUUGACGGUACCUUCUUAGCAAGCACCGGCUAACUCCGUG
rnacentral:rRNA from 1 species